rnacentral:sRNA from 1 species
AGUGAGACCCUAUCUCUAUUAAAAAAUAAGCUCAAGCAAUCUUCCCACCCCAGCCUCCCAAGUAGCUGGGUCUAGAGGCGCAUGCCACCACGCCUGGACUUGCAAGAUGGAAAAGCUCUAGAGAUUUGUUUCGCAGUAAUGCUUCUUUGGCAGAAACAGAUAAAAUCACUCUGGAGGUAGCAAAACUUAUCAAAGAUGAUUUCCUACAACAAAAUGGAUAUACUCCUUAUGACAGGUUCUGCCCAUUCUACAAGACAGUAGGGAUGCUGUCCAACAUGAUUGCAUUUUAUGAUAUGGCUCGUAGAGCUGUUGAAACCACUGCCCAGAGUGACAAUAAAAUCACAUGGUCCAUUAUUCGUGAGCACAUGGGAGACAUCCUCUAUAAACUUUCCUCCAUGAAAUUCAAGGAUCCACUGAAAGAUGGUGAGGCAAAGAUCAAAAGCGACUAUGCACAACUUCUUGAAGACAUGCAGAAUGCAUUCCGUAGCCUUGAAGAUUAGAAGCCUUGAAGAUUAGAACUGUGAUUUCCUUUUCCUCAGCAA